AGGUUCCAAACUGCGUGAAUUCAGACUUCUGGAAUCGUUGAAACUUCAAGAAGAUUCACGUAGAUAUUUGCUAAACAUGAGAAACUUGGUCAUUUUGUUGAUUUUCGUGAGCUGUGCAUUGUCUGUGGCGGCUGCUUGCAAGGAUAAAAACAAACGUUGUAAAUCCUGGGCAUUGAGCGGUGAAUGCAAAAAAAAUCCAAAGUUCAUGGUGAUCAAUUGCCCCAGAAGUUGCACAAUCUGUCCAGG